rnacentral:rRNA from 1 species
CACCGGAGCUUGCUCCACCGGAAAAAGAGGAGUGGCGAACGGGUGAGUAACACGUGGGUAACCUGCCCAUCAGAAGGGGAUAACACUUGGAAACAGGUGCUAAUACCGUAUAACAAUCGAAACCGCAUGGUUUUGAUUUGAAAGGCGCUUUCGGGUGUCGCUGAUGGAUGGACCCGCGGUGCAUUAGCUAGUUGGUGAGGUAACGGCUCACCAAGGCCACGAUGCAUAGCCGACCUGAGAGGGUGAUCGGCCACAUUGGGACUGAGACACGGCCCAAACUCCUACGGGAGGCAGCAGUAGGGAAUCUUCGGCAAUGGACGAAAGUCUGACCGAGCAACGCCGCGUGAGUGAAGAAGGUUUUCGGAUCGUAAAACUCUGUUGUUAGAGAAGAACAAGGAUGAGAGUAACUGUUCAUCCCUUGACGGUAUCUAACCAGAAAGCCACGGCUAACUACGUGCCAGCAGCCGCGGUAAUACGUAGGUGGCAAGCGUUGUCCGGAUUUAUUGGGCGUAAAGCGAGCGCAGGCGGUUUCUUAAGUCUGAUGUGAAAGCCCCCGGCUCAACCGGGGAGGGUCAUUGGAAACUGGGAGACUUGAGUGCAGAAGAGGAGAGUGGAAUUCCAUGUGUAGCGGUGAAAUGCGUAGAUAUAUGGAGGAACACCAGUGGCGAAGGCGGCUCUCUGGUCUGUAACUGACGCUGAGGCUCGAAAGCGUGGGGAGCAAACAGGAUUAGAUACCCUGGUAGUCCACGCCGUAAACGAUGAGUGCUAAGUGUUGGAGGGUUUCCGCCCUUCAGUGCUGCAGCUAACGCAUUAAGCACUCCGCCUGGGGAGUACGACCGCAAGGUUGAAACUCAAAGGAAUUGACGGGGGCCCGCACAAGCGGUGGAGCAUGUGGUUUAAUUCGAAGCAACGCGAAGAACCUUACCAGGUCUUGACAUCCUUUGACCACUCUAGAGAUAGAGCUUCCCCUUCGGGGGCAAAGUGACAGGGGGUGCAUGGUUGCCUCAGCUCCGGGCCGGGAAAUGUUGGGUUAAGUCCCGCACCGAGCCAACCC